rfam:Salmo salar isolate Sally breed double haploid chromosome ssa04, whole genome shotgun sequence.
UGCAUUCACUACAUGUAAGUUGCUCUGGAUAAGAGCGUCUGCUAAAUGACUAAAA